AGGGUUAUAACUUAAUGGCAAAGUGCUUGGCCGAUAACCAAGCGAAAAUGGUUCGAUUCCAUUUAAUCCUA
rnacentral:tRNA from 1 species